ensembl:ncRNA mir-4954 mir-4954 stem loop
UUGGCGCUUGGAAUCGAUACCCGAGCCAUGAUAGAUUGAAGUCAACCCAAUCGAUCGCGGUUCGAGUGCUCGAGUCUUGUGCGCCGGCAUG